rnacentral:rRNA from 1 species
AAUAGAUACCCCCGGUAGUCCACGCCGUAAACGAUGAGUGCUAAGUGUUAGAGGGUUUCCGCCCUUUAGUGCUGCAGCUAACGCAUUAAGCACUCCGCCUGGGGAGUACGGUCGCAAGACUGAAACUCAAAGGAAUUGACGGGGGCCCGCACAAGCGGUGGAGCAUGUGGUUUAAUUCGAAGCAACGCGAAGAACCUUACCAGGUCUUGACAUCCUCUGACAACUCUAGAGAUAGAGCGUUCCCCUUCGGGGGACAGAGUGACAGGUGGUGCAUGGUUGUCGUCAGCUCGUGUCGUGAGAUGUUGGGUUAAGUCCCGCAACGAGCGCAACCCUUGAUCUUAGUUGCCAGCAUUCAGUUGGGCACUCUAAGGUGACUGCCGGUGACAAACCGGAGGAAGGUGGGGAUGACGUCAAAUCAUCAUGCCCCUUAUGACCUGGGCUACACACGUGCUACAAUGGAUGGUACAAAGGGCUGCAAGACCGCGAGGUCAAGCCAAUCCCAUAAAACCAUUCUCAGUUCGGAUUGU